rnacentral:tRNA from 1 species
GAGUGCAUAGCUCCGUAGUAGAGUGUGUGCUUAGCAUGCACAAGGUCCUGGGUUCAAUCCCCAGUACCUCCA